CAUGUAUAAUGGUGUUGGUUCAGGCAGAGUAGAUAAUAAUUGUAUCAGUUUAUUAAGGCUGUGAAAAUGUUCAUGCUGGUUGUGAACACCAACAAUCACUGUAAUGAGCAGGUUUAUUACAGAUUACAUGUGAAUGAAAGAAUCAAUCAACAUCCACAUUUUAUGUCUCCAUACAGGGUUCAUGUCUAAGAGGACGCCACCUGACAGGGAUGAGAUGAGGAAGAUGCGUGAAAUGAUCCAGCAUUAUGAAAAGCUACAGACACUUGAGGACUCCGUGCGUGAUCUCAGUAAGUUGAAGUGAACUGAGUGAGAAAUGUUGUCGUCUAUAUUAACAUCUAGAACUUCAGUGUUUUGUAGGUGGUGGGUACAAACUCACAUUUGAUUAGAUUUUUAUUUGUGAGCUCACUGCUGAAUUUGAAAGUUUCAAGUUAAUAAUGGAUGACAGAAUCUGUGAAGUCCACCUUAAAGAAGCUGUGACUUCCUGACUGGUUGUUAAAACAAUUUGAUUCUGUUCAACAUGGAUGAAGUCUGCACUGACCAUAUAAAAGAGGUGUUGGCUUAUAAUCC